AUUUAAGUAGUUUAAAGAAAAUGUCGAUUUGUGGUAUCGAAGUUGUAAUAAAUUUAUUACCUUAGAUU
rnacentral:tRNA from 1 species